rnacentral:rRNA from 1 species
AUUGAACGCUGGCGGCAGGCUUAACACAUGCAAGUCGAGCGGAGAUGAGGUGCUUGCACCUUAUCUUAGCGGCGGACGGGUGAGUAAUGCUUAGGAAUCUGCCUAUUAGUGGGGGACAACAUUCCGAAAGGGAUGCUAAUACCGCAUACGUCCUACGGGAGAAAGCAGGGGAUCUUCGGACCUUGCGCUAAUAGAUGAGCCUAAGUCGGAUUAGCUAGUUGGUGGGGUAAAGGCCUACCAAGGCGACGAUCUGUAGCGGGUCUGAGAGGAUGAUCCGCCACACUGGGCCUGAGACACGGCCCAGACUCCUACGGGAGGCAGCAGUGGGGAAUAUUGGACAAUGGGGGGAACCCUGAUCCAGCCAUGCCGCGUGUGUGAAGAAGGCCUUAUGGUUGUAAAGCACUUUAAGCGAGGAGGAGGCUACUGAGACUAAUACUCUUGGAUAGUGGACGUUACUCGCAGAAUAAGCACCGGCUAACUCUGUGCCAGCCGCCGCAGUAAAAC